AUGUUGGGGGUGUGUGUGUGUUACUUUCAAGUCAGUAGUUUAAAAAAAAACAACACCAAACAACCCUUAUUUAUCUUUUUUAUCUUUUUAUCUUUUGGGACGGUGUCUGGCAUCCAGCCCAGUGAUUUUGUUUUUUCUUUUCUCCCCAGCCAGCAGGCAAAAUUGUGCAGGGGAAACACGAGGCAAAGGAUGCAGGACCUGUUAGGAGCACGGGCACAGCAAUCACUGUUUUCCCUCCCGUUCCUCUUCCCAGCAGCAUGGCCAGGCAAAACUGGAGAUGAGCAGUGUUCAAGUAAGGGGUCAGUCUUUGGAAGACCAUACCACAUAUGUCUGUGCCUGAGCAGUCACACAAUUUGCCAAGCUUUGCACAAAUUUCUGGUAGGCUGGGCACAAAAGCACAAGCAAAAUGAGUCACGUCCCGGCACAGGCUUGAGUUUGGUGGCAGGGGGUGACACACCCAGGCAGAAGUGGUGGUUCCAGAAGCACAGUGAAACCACAGCACCAGAACAAAAAGUGUCUGCAGCUACAGAGCCCUGAGGAAGUCACACUUCAUUCUGAUCAUCUCGGUUUUAGGAAAGGCGGUGUGACAGCAGCCACCAGCUGAAGCUUGCAAGGGUUCUGUGGUUGCAGAUGGCUAUAAGCAGCACUGCUGUGUGCAUCGAGACCGUGCAGGGAGCACCUGGUUGUCUCAGCAUGGCUGGUGGGUUAUUUGAACGUCCCUCCACAUCCACCUGGGAACUGACAACAAGCAAUGGCCACAGGUUGCAGCAGGGGAAGAUGUUAGUACACCCUGGGGGUACUGGCUGGGAACCCAGCUCUGGCCUGAGAUAGGGGAGGGCAUCAACCCUCUGCCUCCCAGGGGGGCAGCUCAACACUGCUGGUGCUUGUCAGCACCUACUGUCCUGGCAGAAAGCAGCUGGUUUUCCAGAAAAGAGGUGAUCUCUGUUUGCUCAGCUUUGCUUUUUUUUUUGAAAGACAUACACAAUAGCUGCCUGGCUGCACAGCUUUCCAACCAUUUACUGCUCCUGAAGCCCCUGGAAAACUCGCUGGUCAGAAGCUCCUGCACAGCUGAUGGGCCCCCGUGGCCCCUUCCCCAGCGCCCUCCCCACCGUUAGGGCUGAGAAGGGACUGGAAGCAUCUGUUUUUAGCUUGCAACUAUUUCCUGCCACUGCAGGGAUCAAAACAGCGAGCCGUCCUCAACGCAAACAGGCUGUCCUGUCCUCCCUCGCUCUGCAAAGCUGUGUCCUGUCCCGAGCUUUGCUUUGCCUCCUGCUGAGCCGGGGCACGGUCGUGGAUAACAUCAACCAGCACGGCACACAGGAUGAGGUGGGGCUGAGGCUUUAAAAAUAAACCAGACCCCACCAUAAGGAAAAAAAACACCUGUCAUGCAUCCUGUAAGCCUCCCAUGCAGCCUUGUCGAAGAUAAUAUCGGAUAGGAACAGCACGAACAGUGCAGCAGCUGCUGUAGCUGAGAGAGGUCCCCGUGGUGCACCUAGCCUGGGCUCUCUGCGUGCCCCUCCGGUGCCCCAGCCACAGGGCUUUCCCGUUACAGCCCUCUGGGUACUGCUCCAACCUCCCCAGCAAGUCGCUCACCCCGUCCCCCAGCCCGUCCCCGAGUCGCCCCGGCACCCCCAGCUCAAAGCUCACACUUACCUGGAGCUGGCAGGCACCAAAAGCGCGUGAAAGACAAAUAAAACAAAAUAAAAAUAAAGCCCGCAAAUCCUUGGGUGACUGCUUAAGUAGCUGUGUGUGCGUGUGACAGGCGGGGGCCUGAAAAACCUGCCGCAAAUCGCAGGAGCUCCUAGGAUCCGCAGCUACUCUCUGGGCUGGUAAUUCAGGUUUGGCAUCUGCUCUCCUUGGCAGAGCUCAACGCGUGGUUCUGUGUGCUCCGGGGCUCUGGGGAUGGGUGGCACAGGGAGGCGUCCAGGCUUGUCACCGCCGCGCUGGGGGACUGUGCCCUGCAGCGGCUGCUGGCACCUCGUGCCCAGGGGCUGCUUCCUGCGGGGUUAGGGGAAGGGUGAACGCACGCUGCAGCAGCGGAAACGGUGCUCAGAAAUUCGUCUCUUUCAGCUGCUCCUGCUUGCCUCCGUGGGUCCUGCACGACUGCACCCUUGGGCAGGCUGCGCCCAGCUCCCCGCUGUGGGCAGCCCCGCUUCUGGCUUUGCUGAUAGAGCGUGGCAGCAGAGUCACUGCCACGCAGGGUUUUAUUCUCAUCUUACUUUAGUUCCCCGCAAAUGGUUUGUCCAGGCUUGAUGUUCCUGGCUGUAGUAUGUGCUGUGAUUCUGCCAGGCUGGGGAGGGGCUGGAUCAGGUCCUGGAUCAGGUCCUGCAUCAGGUCCUGGAUCUAAGCUGCUGCCGCAGCCCAGGUGCUGUGUGGGCACAGGGCAGGGGUCUGGCUGGGGAUGGGAAGGGACAGGGCACCCCCUUUUCCCAGGGAACUGUCCUUUUCCUGAUGGAAGGUCAGGGGGGAAAAGAAAAAUCAUGGUGCUUGGGGAGGAGUUGAUUUUCUCUCAGCUCACAGACAGCUGGAAGUGGAUGCUGGAAAAUCAGAGAGGAGGGAGAAAGGACUGACAAGAAUCCCAGUGAAACACAAAUACGUAUUUCAGUGGCUGAGCUUAUCUGACAGAGUAAAGGCAAACUGGCACUGCAUGCAGAAAGCUGUCUAGCUGGCUGGAGCCUGGGGCAGAGCAGCAGGGCUAUUUUGGAUAAACCCAGGCAAAACCACCACCAACAACAAAGCAACUGCCAUAUGUUUAGCAAUGAGCCAAACUGUCCUGAACUUUGAGUGGUUUUGUAGUGUGAGGGGACACGUGGGCCAAGGCAUGGGUAUUGCAAAGGCAUGGGUAUUGCAGAGGGAUCUGUGCUAAAGGGCAGGAAGACCAGCGCCAG
rnacentral:lncRNA from 1 species